CAGUAGCCGCGGGAAUACGGAGGGGGCUAGCGUUGUUCGGAAUUACUGGGCGUAAAGCGCACGUAGGCUGCUUUGUAAGUCAGAGGUGAAAGCCCGGGGCUCAACCCCGGAUGUGCCUUUGAGACUGCAGAGCUAGAACGUCGGAGAGGUGAGUGGAAUUCCGAGUGUAGAGGUGAAAUUCGUAGAUAUUCGGAAGAACACCAGUGGCGAAGGCGGCUCACUGGACGACUGUUGACGCUGAGGUGCGAAAGCGUGGGGAGCAAACAGGAUUAGAUACCCCGGUAGUCCCUGUCUCUUAUAA
rnacentral:rRNA from 1 species